rnacentral:rRNA from 1 species
AGUCAGGUGGGAUUACGCGCAACUUAA